GAUGAACGCUGGCGGCGUGCCUAAUACAUGCAAGUCGAGCGAACGGACGAGAAGCUUGCUUCUCUGAUGUUAGCGGCGGACGGGUGAGUAACACGUGGAUAACCUACCUAUAAGACUGGGAUAACUUCGGGAAACCGGAGCUAAUACCGGAUGAUAUUUUGAACCGCAUGGUUCAAAAGUGAAAGACGGUCUUGCUGUCACUUAUAGAUGGAUCCGCGCUGCAUUAGCUAGUUGGUAAGGUAACGGCUUACCAAGGCAACGAUGCAUAGCCGACCUGAGAGGGUGAUCGGCCACACUGGAACUGAGACACGGUCCAGACUCCUACGGGAGGCAGCAGUAGGGAAUCUUCCGCAAUGGGCGAAAGCCUGACGGAGCAACGCCGCGUGAGUGAUGAAGGUCUUCGGAUCGUAAAACUCUGUUAUUAGGGAAGAACAUAUGUGUAAGUAACUGUGCACAUCUUGACGGUACCUAAUCAGAAAGCCACGGCUAACUCUGUG
rnacentral:rRNA from 1 species